rnacentral:rRNA from 1 species
CAAGGAAUCUUCCGCAAUGGGGGCAACCCUGACGGAGCAACGCCGCGUGGGGGAUGACGCCCUUCGGGGUGUAAACCCCUUUUCUGCGGGAAGAAGGGCUUCGGCCUUGACGGUACCGCAGGAAGAAGGACCGGCUAACUACGUGCCAGCAGCCGCGGUAAUACGUAGGGUCCGAGCGUUGUCCGGAGUUACUGGGCGUAAAGCGCGCGCAGGCGGCGGUGCUGGCCCGGCGUGAAAGCCCCCGGCUCAACCGGGGAGGGUCGUCGGGGACCGCACCGCUUGAGGGCGGUAGGGGCUGGUGGAAUGCCUGGUGUAGUGGUGAAAUGCGUAGAGAUCAGGCGGAACACCCGUGGCGAAGGCGGCCAGCUGGGCCGUCCCUGACGCUGAGGCGCGAAGGCGUGGGGAGCGAACGGG